rnacentral:rRNA from 1 species
GUCUACGGCCAUACCACCCUGAACGCGCCCGAUCUCGUCUGAUCUCGGAAGCUAAGCAGGGUCGGGCCUGGUUAGUACUUGGAUGGGAGAAAAUGUUCAGCUAGGGGAGAGAGUUCCCAGUUAAGGUUUGGUAGCUU